rnacentral:sRNA from 1 species
UCCCUAAAUAUGUGCCGCUUAUUCGCUA